UACGGAGGGGGCUAGCGUUGUUCGGAAUUACUGGGCGUAAAGCGCGCGUAGGCGGACCUGCAAGUCGGGGGUGAAAGCCCGAGGCUCAACCUCGGAACUGCCUUCGAUACUGCGGGUCUCGAGUCCGGGAGAGGUGAGUGGAAUUCCUAGUGUAGAGGUGAAAUGCGUAGAUAUCGUAAGGAAGACCAGUGGCGAAGGCGGGUCUCUGGACAGUUCCUGACGCUGAGGCACGAAGGCCAGGGGAGCAAACGGG
rnacentral:rRNA from 1 species